rnacentral:tRNA from 1 species
GGGCCCAUAGCUCAACGGCAGAGCACUCGGCUCAUAACCGAUUGGUUCCAGGUUCGAAUCCUGGUGGGCCCACCA